rnacentral:rRNA from 1 species
GUCUGUUUGUAGUUAUAAAGAGUCUAACCUGCCCCCUGAUUACUAUAAUUAAAGGGCCGCGGUAUUAUGACCGUGCAAAGGUAGCAUAAUCAUUAGAUUUUUAAUUGGAAUCUUGUAUGAAUGGUUGGACGAAGGAAAAACUGUCUUUAAAUUAAAGUUUAAAUUUAACUUUUAAGUGAAAAGGCUUAAAUAUUUUAAAGGGACGAUAAGACCCUAUAAAACUUUACAUUAAAUUAUAUUUAAUUAAAUUUUAAAUAAAGAUUUAGUAUAGCUAUUUGUUAUAUUGGGGAGAUAGAAGUAGAAUUUAAUUUAACUGCUUUACAGUUAAACAAUUAUUAAUGAGAUAUAAAGAUCCUUUAUAAAGAUUGUAAAAUUAAGUUACUUUAGGGAUAACAGCGUUAUUUUUUUAGAGAGUUCUUAUCGACCAUAAAGAUUGCGACCUCGAUGUUGAAUUAAAAUAUCUAUAUAAUGUAGGAGUUAUAUUAGAAGGUCUGUUCGACCUUUAAAAUUUUACAUGAUUUGAGUUCAAACCGGUGUAAG